rnacentral:rRNA from 1 species
CAGCCGUAAACGAUACUCGCUAGGUGUCGGCCACGGUGCGACCGUUGUCGGUGCCGUAGGGAAGCCGUGAAGCGAGCCACCUGGGAAGUACGGCCGCAAGGCUGAAACUUAAAGGAAUUGGCGGGGGAGCACCACAACGGGUGGAGCUUGCGGUUUAAUUGGAUUCAACGCCGGGAAUCUCACCGGAUAAGACAGCUGAAUGAUAGUCGGGAUGAAGACUCUACUUGACUAGCUGAGAGGUGGUGCAUGGCGUAGUCGUGU